AUGUAGCAAUUUUAAAUUUAUUUCAAAAAUGGUUUAUAUCCUAUGUCAAUUUACUGGAACGAAUAAUUUAAAAUAAACCUGAAGUAAAAUUAACUUCAAAUGAAAGACGGCUACAUAUCACGGUUCUCAAAAAGAGAGAAAAACAGCUGCAUACCAUGACUCCCAAAAAUAAAAAAAAAAACAGUUACAUGUCACAGUUCUAAAAGAGAGCUGUAUUAUAUAACUAUUAUUUGAAUAUCUGGAUAAAUAUUUACACUUCAUUUACUCUUGAUUUAUUUUGAACAACGGAUUAAAAAACUCAGAAUAAUAUUAUUGCAUGUAAGAUCUGUAACGAACUUGAUUUCUCUCUGUUAUUUGUUACAAUCUUUAUACAAGUAUAUUUAAACAAAAAAAAAUUUACAAGUCAAAAAUUUAUUAAAUAAAUAAAAAAAUAAAGGUACUCAAAAAAGACCUCUUGUCGCCAAAAACCGCUGAAAAUUAAUAGCAUUAUAUAAUUGCUCUCAGGUAAAAGAACACACAUUAAGGUUUACGUUAAAAAAAAAAAGUUAAGUACAUAAACAUGAUUCCUUGAUAUGAAGCUAAACCACUAUAUGCCUUGAUAUGAAGCUAAACCACUAUACUGUUAAACGAAAAUACAUUGUAAAUAAUAAUAAUGCAUAACUUUUGUAAUAAUAUGUACAAGGUAAAUAUACAUUGAAUAUAUUACUGGUAGGACUUCCAGAAAAUCACACGAUCUUAUCAUGAAGCCCUUUACAAUCUAUAUUAGGAGUCAAAAUAAAUAAAUAAAUUUACAAAUA